GAGCUGAGGAGACACCGUGUCCUGCCAGUUCUGACCGUCGCACACUUCAUCCUCCAGCGCUGCAGCGUCCGGUAGCAGAGCCAACGAGCUGCUGGACGCAGAUGAUGAUGUGCUGUGCUGCAGUGGCCUGAGGCCCGGCCCCUCCCUCUCCUCCCCACAGUCCUCCAUGUCCACAUCGCUGCGAGAGCGGGGGACAGACUCUGUCCCUGAGGCAACACCCCGCCGACGCCCUUCUCCCUGAGCCUUCAACGACUCGCUGCGUGCCAGACGCACUGAGACCGUAGGGCUGCAAAAGAGAGCAAGAGGUAAACAUACAGCAUUUUAGCUGCUGGAGGAGAGCCUCUGGGGGUCGGCAGCGUCACCUCCCUCCUCUCCCGUCGUCUCUGUGUGAUUCUCAAACUGCUGGAUGAUGUUCCUCACACUGCCAGGACGGACUGCACACAAGAAUAUUACUUAAUGGUACAACUACACCUCCAGCAGAAAGAGCUGAUGCGAUUAAAACGAGGUGGAACACAAGCAAACUACUACAUGCAAAGAAUAACUUAGGGUCUCCAUCAAGGUGAUGCAGGUCUCCUUCUCCAAACAGAGAGCCAAGACCCAUCAUCUGCUUGUUCCUACCAAACACAGAAAAACAAGCUUAACAGGGCCGAUGAUCUGCGCCUUUCCACCCUUUGAAAACAGGUACACACACACACACACACACAGAUUUCAAGAAAUGGGAAGUACUUGGUCACACACUGGAGGACACUGACAGUAAGUGCAGUGCUCAGCACAAAACCAUUAGAUGAUGUGAAAUAUGGUUGUGGUCGUGGCAGUUUCACUGCUUGUCUCAUACAUUUGAAGCAGUUAUGUAAGUCACACUGGUGCAUGACA